GGUGGUGGCUAGACCCAAGAGGUUAAGAGAGUUAAGCGUGUUAGGACGGGAGUAGUCCUAGGAUGGGUGACCCCCUGGGAAGUUGGGGCGUCACAGUUG
rnacentral:rRNA from 1 species